rnacentral:rRNA from 1 species
UCGUUGGGAAAUCCACGCGCUCAACGCGUGGGCGUCCAGCGAAAACUGUUCGGCUUGGGGCCGGAAGACUCAAGGGGUACGUCCGGGGUAGGAGUGAAAUCCCGUAAUCCUGGACGGACCGCCGAUGGCGAAAGCACCUUGAGAGGACGGACCCGACGGUGAGGGACGAAAGCCAGGGUCUCGAACCGGAUUAGAUACCCGGGUAGUCCUGGCCGUAAACGAUGUUCGCUAGGUGUGGCACUCGCUACGAGCGAGUGCUGUGCCGUAGGGAAGCCGAGAAGCGAACCGCCUGGGAAGUACGUCUGCAAGGAUGAAACUUAAAGGAAUUGGCGGGGGAGCACUACAACCGGAGGAGCCUGCGGUUUAAUUGGACUCAACGCCGGACAUCUCACCGGUCCCGACAGCAGUAACGACGGUCAGGUUGACGACCUUACCCGAGCUGCUGAGAGGAGGUGCAUGGCCGCCGUCAGCCCGUACCGUGAGGCGUCCUGUUAAGUCAGGCAACGAGCGAGACCCGCACUCCUAAUUGCCAGCACCGGCUUCGGCCGGGUGGGUACAUUAGGAGGACUGCCGUGGCUAACACGGAGGAAGGAACGGGCAACGGUAGGUCAGUAUGCCCCGAAUGUGCUGGGCUACACGCGGGCUACAAUGGCCAAGACAAUGGGUUCCCACCUCGAAAGAGGGCGGUAAUCUCCUAAACUUGGUCGUAGUUCGGAUUGAGGGCUGAAACCCG